rnacentral:tRNA from 1 species
GCAGCCGUGGCCUACUGGUUAGCGCUUCGGACUUAUAACCGGAGGGUUGCCGGUUCGAAUCCCAACGGCCAUG